rnacentral:rRNA from 1 species
UUGAAACCGCUGGCGGCAUGCCUUACACAUGCAAGUCGAACGGCAGCACGGGAGCAAUCCUGGUGGCGAGUGGCGAACGGGUGAGUAAUAUAUCGGAACGUGCCCAGUCGUGGGGGAUAACGUAGCGAAAGCUACGCUAAUACCGCAUACGAUCUAUGGAUGAAAGCGGGGGAUCGCAAGACCUCGCGCGAUUGGAGCGGCCGAUAUCAGAUUAGGUAGUUGGUGAGGUAAAGGCUCACCAAGCCGACGAUCUGUAGCUGGUCUGAGAGGACGACCAGCCACACUGGGACUGAGACACGGCCCAGACUCCUACGGGAGGCAGCAGUGGGGAAUUUUGGACAAUGGGCGCAAGCCUGAUCCAGCAAUGCCGCGUGCAGGAUGAAGGCCUUCGGGUUGUAAACUGCUUUGUACGGAACGAAACGGUGAGCUCUAAUACAGUUUGCUAAUGACGGUACCGUAAGAAUAAGCACCGGCUAACUACGUG